rnacentral:tRNA from 1 species
CUCUACGUAGCUCAGGGGAUAGAGCGUCCGCCUCCUAAGCGGAAGGUCGCAGGUUCAAUUCCUGUCGUGGAGACCA